rnacentral:rRNA from 1 species
GAGAAGGUGGGUAUGUAUAGCAUAUCAUUUGACGUUAGCUGCAGAAGAAGCACCGGCUAACUCCGUGCCAGCAGCCGCGGUAAUACGGAGGGUGCGAGCGUUAAUCGGAAUUACUGGGCGUAAAGCGCAUGCAGGUGGUUGUUAAGUCAGAUGUGAAAGCCCGGGGCUCAACCUCGGAAUUGCUAUUGAAACUGGCAAACUAGAGUACUGUAGAGGGGGUAGAAUUUCAGGUGUAGCGGUGAAAUGCGUAGAGAUCUGAAGGAAUACCGGUGGCGAAGGCGGCCCCCUGGACAGAUACUGACACUCAGAUGCGAAAGCGUGGGGAGCAAACAGGAUUAUAUACCCUGGUAG